UACGGGGGGGGCAAGCGUUGUUCGGAAUUACUGGGCGUAAAGGGCUUGUAGGUGGCCAACUAAGUCAGACGUGAAAUCCCUCAGCUUAACUGGGGAACUGCUUCUGAUACUGGAUGGCUUGAGUUUGGGAGAGGGAUGCGGAAUUCCAGGUGUAGCGGUGAAAUGCGUAGAUAUCAGGAGGAACACCGGUGGCGAAGGCGGGUCUCUGGGCCGAUACUGACGCUGAGGAGCGAAAGCGUGGGGAGCGAACAGG
rnacentral:rRNA from 1 species